rnacentral:lncRNA from 1 species
AUGUGGAGGUUGUAAUUGAGACCUAGCAGCUGGCUAGCUAUAGCAAAGCUCGAUGGCAAGGAGCUGGUUGAUAUGUAAUUGGUGUAGUUGUUAGCUGUAGAACCUCAGAAGCUCGUGGGCUUAACAGCUCUAAGAUGGCCAAAGGAACUUCAAACUUCAACCGAAACCGAGAAACGAAAGAGAUUGCAGAUCCAAAGGAAGCAAAAAACACUAGUCAAAAUGGAUGGAUUCAAUCAACUAGAAUCUGUAGUUAACAGAUCUAAGUUUGUCAAAACACAAAUAUCACAUCAUUACAACAAGCAGUAAUCUAGGGCUGUAAACGAACCGAACGUUCAGCGAACAGUUGGUGAACUGUUCGGCGGAAAGUUCGUUUAUGUUCGUUCGCUUAAUAAACGAACGAACAUGAACAAGAAAUUCCGUUCGAUUAAUUAAAUGUAUGAAUAUGAAAAGAGGUUUCGUUCGUUCGAUUGUGUUCGUGAACGUUCGGUAAGGUGUUCGUGAACGUUCGGUAAUUUGCGUUCGUUUAUGUUCGUUUGUUUGUGUUUUAAUUAAAGAAUUUUGUACUUUCAAAUAUUAUCUAUACUUU